rnacentral:rRNA from 1 species
AUGGCGUCGGCGAACCACGGCAACACGGGGAGGCGCAAACCCUCGGUGUGGAACGACUUCCACCCCGUCAUCGUCUCCGGCCCCGCCGGAGAGCGUGCCAUGGCGACGUGCAACAGGUGCGGCACCAAGCUACAAGCCUGCUCAAAGAAGCACGGGACCUCGCACCUACGCCGGCACGCCAACAGCAGCUGCUGUGAGAAGCGGGCGGCCCUACGGGAGGCGGCGGCGGCGCCGGCUGACGACGACGACGGCCUCGACGUGGCCGCCCUACGGGAGGCGGCGGCGGCGCCGGCUGACGACUACGACGGCCUCGACGUGGCCAAGUGGGUGGUGGAGUGGGUGGAGGAUCUUCGGGUUGUGCCUGAGGUCGACUCUGCCGGCCGCAUCAUCUUCGAAAGAGGGGACGAGCUAGUGGAUGCUGGCGGCCAUGCGCCGGCCGCCGGAGAUCAUGGACGCCUUUCCGCCAACUUCAUUCAAGAUGCGCUGCCUCAGGCACCGGCUUCGUCCUCCACGCGCUUCUUCCAGAAGAAAAGAAAGAGGUCUAGGUCUGCAAGCUUGGGUUCGCACCAAGGAGAGACGGCGGACAACGACCAUUCUUCUGGUGCCAAGGAGGACUGGGCGUUGACCUUUGACAAGUCGAUUAUCUCCUUGGACCUUACUUUUGGAUAUGGUGAUAUAUGGUGA